UUGGUUGCUCAGUGGUUAGAGUGUUGGUCUGUGACUAAAAGGUCCUGGGUUUGAUUCCCAGUCAA
rfam:Myotis davidii contig69015, whole genome shotgun sequence.